UUUUAUUCUCGUGUGUGUGUGUGUCUGUGUGUGCUCGAGUGCAUGUGUGAGCCAGAAGAGGACGUUAAAUCCCCUGAAGCUAGAGUUACAAGUGUUGUGAGCUAAGAUUUGAACUCAAUCUCUGGAAGAGCAACAAGCCCGUAACCACUGAGCCAUCUAUCGCUCCAGCCCCUUAAAUGCUUAAUAUUUUAGGAGAGAAAGCAUGACAUGUGCUUUCAAUGAUCAGAAUCACGAUGGCACAAACUCGUGGAAUGGAAAGCCCUCCAAUCAUCUAAGAAUCUCAGAGAGGUGCCUAGGUAGCUCUCGCGCACGCUUCCUGCUCAAAUCCACCAGCAGCCCAGGAGCUGUGAACCCCAGACCCACACGCUAACCCUAAUGAAUGUGAGCUGACCUAGUUACGUUUGCUAGGCAUUGUGUUUGGUUGGUUUUGUAGGUAGGGUCCUACUGCGUGUUGAUGGCAGAAAGGACACUUGUGGCUCACCCUCCCGAGUGCUGACAUUACAGGAUGCAUCGCCAUGACUGAUGUCGCUUGCUGCUUUUAUCUAUUACUUAUUUUUUACUUUGAAACAGUCUUAUGUGUCUCAGACUGGCUUCCAACUUACUAUAAUAUCUGAGGAUGACUUGGAAUGUCUGAUUGCCCACUAGCAACUCCCAAGUGCUGGUGUCAUAGGCAAGGAUGACCAAUCCUGCUUUAUGUGGUACAAGGCAUUGAACCCCAGGCUUCUUGUGUGCUACAUGAGCACUCUGGAUGGAGCUGCACCCCAGCCCCAUUUGCUAUUUUUAUGAUGAGGAUUUUUAAGAAUUCAGUCACAUGUUUGCUCACAACCCCCUCCCCCCCAUCCCCCCCGCCCCAUUGACGGGCUCUUCCUCUUAAAGUUCACCAUCUUCUUGAAGGUAAAGUGUCUUCACUACUUUGUACAAAAGAGAAAAUAUUUAUUUCUAAUUUCAGAGUUUCUCUUGCUCCUGUCUAGACAACCUCAGAUUAAAAAAAAAAUCAGAUUUAGAUCGUCUGUAAAGCUAUGUUCUAAAAUAAGAAAAGAUUUGUGAGAAAUCACUUGUCAAAACAUGAGCUAUCAGAGGCCUGGAGACUCUGCUCACACAGCCUCUGCCCUACCAGAAAUAGAGGUUGGUUAGCUCACAUGCUGUUCUGCCUCAGCGAGCUCUGCAUGUGGCCACCUGCAGAGAGAACCCUUGGUUUCUCUUCCUUGUCUAGAUGCCAGUCAAGGGUGCUUUGAGAAAAACACAGAUUUUCAUACUCCUUUCUCAUGUGCAAGUGAGCUGGGGUAUCAAAGAAUUUCCUAGGUUGUUUAAUCUAGAAAAUACCUUGUUUUUUUGGUUUUGGCUUUUUAAAAGAUUUAUUUAUUUAUUCAUUAAUUUUUUUUAUAUGAGUACACUGUAGUUGUCUUCAGACACACACCAGAAGAGUGCAUUGGACCCAAUUACUGAUGAUGGUUGUGAGCCACCAUGUGGUUUCUGGGAAUUGAACUCAGGACCUCUGGAAGAGCAGUCAGUGCUCUUAACCGCUGAGCCAUCUCUCCAGCCCCUAGAAAAUCCUUGGUUACAGGAGCAAUAAGAUGAUCAGGAGGGCAAAAGUCCUGGCCAUGCAAACCCAAGUACAAUGUCUGAAACGUGUAUGCAAACACACACACACACACACACACACACACACACACACACACACACAUCAGAUUCAGUGGCAUUUUUCUGUAAUUCCAGGACUUAUACUGCAAGAUGAGAAGCAUAAUCAGGUAGAUUGCCCUCAGGCUUGUGGGCCCACUCUUCAGGAGAACACUACAUAACAGAAACAAGCAAGACCCUGCCUCAACAGGCUAGGAGAGAAGUGGUCACCAAAGGUUGUCCUCUGACCUCCAUGAGUAGUCUGUAGUACAGGUAUACCUGAACAUGCGCACACACACAUGCACACAUACUACUACUACUAACAAAUGUUCUAAGUGUAAGUAGUAUGCAACUGUUAACUUGAUAUAUGAUGUCAUUUCCUUCUCUAGCUGGGGAAGUGGGGGAGAGGGAGAGAGAGAGAGGUGUACAUACAAGUUUGUGUAGUCCACACACAUCAGUGUAUCCUUAUCUGUGUGCCUGUGCAUCUGAAGGCCAGAGGCCAAGGUCAGGUAUCUUCCUCGAUUGCAUUCCACCUUAUCUUUUCAGACAGGAUCUGUCUGUCUCUGAACCCGGAGCUCAGUGAUUGAGCUAUAGCUGUCCUUCAGCUCCUACAGCACUAUAGCUAUAGAAAAGCACCGCCGAGUUCAGCCCCUGGGUGUACACUGGGAAUCGGAACUACUGGCCUACGAUUGUGUGUCAGGCACUUUACCUGUGCAGUCCCUUCCCUAGCUGAAUUUUUAUACUGUGAUAGGAAUAAUUAUAAAGCAUUUAGCUGGGAUAACUCAACAGUUAAGGAUGUUUGGUCUUGCUAGGCAGUGGUGGUUCGAAAAGCAUCCGCACUUGAAAAGCAGAGGCUGGCAGAUCUCUGAGUUUGAGGCCAACCAACCUGCUUUACAGAGUGAGUUCCUGGACAACCAGGGCUACAGAGAUACAGAGAAGCCCUGUUUAGGAAAAAACAAAACAAAACAAACAAACG
rnacentral:lncRNA from 1 species